rnacentral:lncRNA from 1 species
GGAGCGGGGCGUUCGGAGUUGGGCUGUAGAGCGACUAUGGGCGCACGCCGGGUAUCCGCGCCGCAGCCAGGCUCGGAGCGCGCGGCUGGAGGGGCGCGGGCGGCGCGCGCUCCAGAGAUGCCUUCCUGCGAGGCUCCGUCAGCGCGGCCCGGGGAGAUCGCCCGCAGGCAGCGGAGGCGCGGCGGGCCGGGGGACGACCAGGGAGCCCCUAACAAAGCAGCUUUGGGAGGGCCGGAGGCCUCUGCCUCCCUCGGCGAUAGGUCCGCGAAGCUGCCUGUCAUCUCGCAUAGGUGGAGGUGGCCAAUGGCGUGCACAGACGGAGCUCUAGUUGGCGCGCGCGCGCGGCUCGGCAUCGGUGGGAUUGGUCGGAGGUUGUGGAGAACGCGGAAACGGAGACGCUGGCGGUACAGCCUCGAGCGAAACCUUUCCCUACACGAGGCCGGAGCUUCCUCCUCUCCUGAAGAGCUCUAGACUUCCCCAUUUACAACAAAGGCUGGGAUGUAUGUUCCUUACACCUUGAUUCCAUACACACGUGUUCGCCCCGGGAGCUGGGAAGGUCUGCGCUCCCGGGGUGAUCUUGUUGAAAACAAAAAGAAUUGCCCACGCUGUGGAAGAUAAACCUAAACCGGAAAAUUGAAAGUCAUCCCUGAUUCCUCCUUCUUCUUAACCCUCUCCCAUCCAUUUUUGUUAACCUCCCAAACCCAUUCCUCCCAUCCUGUCUCACCUGGACCUCAGUAAAGGGCUCCCAUCGUCCUUCUGUCCCAGGCCUUGCCCCCUGAAAUCUGUUCUCCACUUUGCAGAAUGAUCCUUCUAAGCAGAAAAAUCUCAUUUUGCGCUCCCAAC